rnacentral:rRNA from 1 species
CCUACGGGGGGCAGCAGUGAGGAAUAUUGGUCAAUGGACGAGAGUCUGAACCAGCCAAGUAGCGUGAAGGAUGACUGCCCUAUGGGUUGUAAACUUCUUUUAUAUGGGAAUAAAAUGUUCCACGUGUGGGAUUUUGUAUGUACCAUAUGAAUAAGGAUCGGCUAACUCCGUGCCAGCAGCCGCGGUAAUACGGAGGAUCCGAGCGUUAUCCGGAUUUAUUGGGUUUAAAGGGAGCGUAGGUGGAUUGUUAAGUCAGUUGUGAAAGUUUGCGGCUCAACCGUAAAAUUGCAGUUGAAACUGGCAGUCUUGAGUACAGUAGAGGUGGGCGGAAUUCGUGGUGUAGCGGUGAAAUGCUUAGAUAUCACGAAGAACUCCGAUUGCGAAGGCAGUUCACUGGACUGCAACUGACACUGAGGCUCGAAAGUGUGGGUAUCAAACAGGAUUUAGAUACCCGUGUAGUC